rnacentral:rRNA from 1 species
AACGAACGCUGGCGGCAGGCCUAACACAUGCCAGUCGAGCGAGGACUUCGGUCCUAGCGGCGGACGGGUGAGUAACGCGUGGGAACGUGCCCUUUGCUUCGGAAUAGCCCUGGGAAACUGGGAGUAAUACCGGAUGAGCCCUUUGGGGGAAAGAUUUAUCGGCGAAGGAUCGGCCCGCGUUGGAUUAGGUAGUUGGUGGGGUAAUGGCCUACCAAGCCGACGAUCCUUAGCUGGUUUGAGAGGAUGAUCAGCCACACUGGGACUGAGACACGGCCCGGACCUCCAGGGGGGGGCGGGGGGGGGAACUGUGGAAAAGGGGGGAAGCCCUGUAAUACCCAUGCCGCGGGAGCGAUGGGGGCGUGGGGGUUAGAAAGAUUUUUAACAUGGGAAGAGAAGACCGGGACCAAGAGAAAAAGCCCCGGCAAACUCCUG